rnacentral:misc_RNA from 1 species
AACGCACCUUGCGCUCCUUGGUAUUCCGAGGAGCAUGCCUGUUUGAGUGUCAUGAAAUUCUCAACCUCUCUGGCUUUUAUUAGCUAGUUAGGAUUGGAUUGUGGAAGCUGCUGGUUUUGUUAGAAAUCAGCUCUUCUUAAAUAUAUUAGUGAAAUCUUUUGCAGACUAUCUCUGGUAUGAUAAUUAUCUAUACCAUUGAAAAGUAGCUCCCUAUGGGGGAGGGUUUUGCUUCUAAUAGUCCAUCUGGACAAACUUGACAAUUUGACCUCAAAUCAGGUAGGACUACCCGCUGAACUUAA